GACGAACGCUGGCGGCGUGCUUAACACAUGCAAGUCGAACGGAAAGGCCCUGCUUUUGUGGGGUGCUCGAGUGGCGAACGGGUGAGUAACACGUGAGUAACCUGCCCUUGACUUUGGGAUAACUUCAGGAAACUGGGGCUAAUACCGGAUAGGAGCUCCUGCUGCAUGGUGGGGGUUGGAAAGUUUCGGCGGUUGGGGAUGGACUCGCGGCUUAUCAGCUUGUUGGUGGGGUAGUGGCUUACCAAGGCUUUGACGGGUAGCCGGCCUGAGAGGGUGACCGGGCACAUUGGGACUGAGAUACGGCCCAGACUGCUACGGGAGGCAGCAGUGGGGAAUAUUGCACAAUGGGCGGAAGCCUGAUGCAGCAACGCCGCGUGCGGGAUGACGGCCUUCGGGUUGUAAACCGCUUUCGCCUGUGACGAAGCGUGAGUGACGGUAAUGGGUAAAGAAGCACCGGCUAACUACGUG
rnacentral:rRNA from 1 species